rnacentral:rRNA from 1 species
UAGGGAAUCUUCCACAAUGGACGGAAGUCUGAUGGAGCAACGCCGCGUGAGUGAAGAAGGGUUUCGGCUCGUAAAACUCUGUUGUUAAAGAAGAACAUAUCUGAGAGUAACUGUUCAGGUAUUGACGGUAUUUAACCAGAAAGCCACGGCUAACUACGUGCCAA